AUACGGAGGGUGCAAGCGUUGUUCGGAAUUACUGGGCGUAAAGCGCGCGUAGGCGGUCUGUUAUGUCAGAUGUGAAAGUCCUCGGCUCAACCGGGGAAGUGCAUUUGAAACUGGCAGACUUGAGUACUGGAGGGGGUGGUGGAAUUCCCGGUGUAGAGGUGAAAUUCGUAGAUAUCGGGAGGAAUACCGGUGGCGAAGGCGACCACCUGGCCAGAUACUGACGCUGAGGUGCGAAAGCGUGGGGAGCAAACAGGAGUAGAAACCCCAGUAGUCC
rnacentral:rRNA from 1 species